rnacentral:rRNA from 1 species
UACGUAGGGUGCAAGCGUUAUCCGGAAUUAUUGGGCGUAAAGAGCUCGUAGGCGGUUUGUCGCGUCUGCUGUGAAAACUGGAGGCUCAACCUCCAGCCUGCAGUGGGUACGGGCAGACUAGAGUGCUGUAGGGGAGAUUGGAAUUCCUGGUGUAGCGGUGGAAUGCGCAGAUAUCAGGAGGAACACCAAUGGCGAAGGCAGAUCUCUGGGCCGUAACUGACGCUGAGGAGCGAAAGCAUGGGGAGCGAACAGG